CUAUCGGAUUGAUACUAAGCCAUGCGAGUCUUUGUAGUAAUACAAGGCAGACGGCUCAGUAACGCGUAGUCAACCUACCCUAUGGACGGGAAUAAUCUCGGGAAACUGAGCAUAAUACCCGGCGUACCACCAUUCCUGGAAUGGUUGGUGGUUAAAAUGAUUCGUCGCCGUAGGAUGGGACUGCGACCUAUCAGCUUGUUGGCGAGGUAAUGGCUCACCAAGGCGAUUACAGGUACGGGCUCUGAGAGGAGAAGCCUGGAGAUGGGUACUGAGACACGGACCCAGGCCCUAUGGGGCGCAGCAGGCGAGAAAACUUUGCAAUGUGCGAAAGCACGACAAGGUUAAUCCGAGUGAUUUCUGCUAAAGGAAUCUUUUGCUAGUUCUAAAAAUACUAGUGAAUAAGGGGUGGGCAAGUUCUGGUGUCAGCCGCCGCGGUAAAACCAGCACCUCAAGUGGUCAGGAGGAUUAUUGGGCCUAAAGCAUCCGUAGCCGGCUCUGUAAGUUUUCGGUUAAAUCCACGUGCUCAACGCAUGGGCUGCCGAAAAUACUGCACAGCUAGGGAGUGGGAGAGGUAGACGGUACUCAAUAGGAAGGGGUAAAAUCCUUUGAUCUAUUGAUGACCACCUGUGGCGAAGGCGGUCUACCAGAACACGUUCGACGGUGAGGGAUGAAAGCUGGGGGAGCAAACCGGAUUAGAUACCCGGGUAGUCCCAGCUGUAAACGAUGCAGACUCGAUGAUGUAUUAGCAUAUAGCUGAUACAGUGUCGCAGGGAAGCCGUUAAGUCUGCCGCCUGGGAAGUACGUACGCAAGUAUGAAACUUAAAGGAAUUGGCGGGGGAGCACCACAAGGGGUGAAGCCUGCGGUUCAAUUGGAUUCAACGCCGGGA
rnacentral:rRNA from 1 species